UGACUAAGUCUUUGGAUUUGAAGUUUGC
rnacentral:sRNA from 1 species